GAAAGAUCUCCCAUGCUCAUGGAUUGGCAGGAUUAAUUUAGUAAAAAUGGCCAUUUUACCAAAAGCAAUCUACAGAUUCAAUGCAAUCCCCAUCAAAAUACCAAUCCAAUUCUUCAAAGAGUUAGACAGAACAAUUUGCAAAUUCAUCUGGAAUAACAAAAAACCCAAGAUAGCUAAAGCUAUCCUCAACAAUAAAAGGACUUCAGGGGGAAUCACUAUCCCUGAACUCAAGCAGUAUUACAGAGCAAUAGUGAUAAAAACUGCAUGGUAUUGGUACAGAGACAGACAGAUAGACCAAUGGAAUAGAAUUGAAGACCCAGAAAUG
rnacentral:lncRNA from 1 species